AAGUGGAUUAGUGGCGCACGGGUGAGUAAUGCAUAGGUUAUGUGCCCUUUAGUCUGGGAUAGCCACUGGAAACGGUGAUUAAUACUGGAUACUCCCUACGGGGGAAAGGUUUUUCGCUAAAGGAUCAGCCUAUGUCCUAUCAGCUUGUUGGUGAGGUAAUGGCUCACCAAGGCUAUGACGGGUAUCCGGCCUGAGAGGGUGAUCGGACACACUGGAACUGAGACACGGUCCAGACUCCUACGGGAGGCAGCAGUAGGGAAUAUUGCUCAAUGGGGGAAACCCUGAAGCAGCAACGCCGCGUGGAGGAUGAAGGUUUUAGGAUUGUAAACUCCUUUUGUAAGAGAAGAUU
rnacentral:rRNA from 1 species